rnacentral:rRNA from 1 species
AUCUUCGGCAAUGGGCGCAAGCCUGACCGAGCGACGCCGCGUGGGGGAUGAAGCCCCUCGGGGUGUAAACCCCUUUCAGGGGGGAAGAACCCCCGAGGAGUCGAACAGGCUCCCCGGGGUGACGGUACCCCCAGAAGAAGGGCCGGCGAACUACGUGCCAGCAGCCGCGGUAAGACGUAGGGCCCGGGCGUUACCCGGAUUCGCUGGGCGUAAAGUGCGCGUAGGCGGCUGGGUGUGUCGUCGGUGAAAGCCCCCGGCUCAACCGGGGAACACCCGGCGAAACUGCCCAGCUCGAGGGCGGGAGAGGCCGGUGGAGCUACCGGAGUAGCGGUGAAAUGCGCAGAUACCGGUAGAAACCUCGGUGGCGAAGGCGGCCGGCUGGCCCGUUCCUGACGCUGAGGCGCGAAAGCGUGGGGAGCGAACCGGAUUAGAUACCCGGGUAGUCCACGCCCUAAACGAUGCCCGCUAGGUGUCGGCCCUUUGAACGAUAGGGUCGGUGCCGCAGCCAACGCGGUAAGCGGGCCGCCCACACAAGCCGGGUUGGAGCAUCUGGUUCAAUUCGGAUGAUAAGCGAAGAACCUUACCCGGGCUUGACAUGCCGGCAGAAGCCUGCCCGAAAGGGCGGGGUGGAAGGGUCCUUCGGGGCCUGGAGGCCGGCACAGGUGCUGCAUGGCUGUCGUCAGCUCGUGCCGUGGGGCGUCGGGUUAAGUCCCGCAACGAGCGCAACCCCUGCCCCUAGUUGCCAGCUCCUCGGGAGGGCUACUCUAGGGGGACCGCCGGCGACAAGCCGGAGGAAGGAGGGGAUGACGUCAAGUCCGUAUGGCCCUUAUGCCCGGGGCGACACAGAUGCUACAGUGGGGGGUACAGCGGGAAGCGAAGCCGCAAGGCGGAGCCAAUCCCUAAAAGCCCCUCGAGGUUCGGAUUGGGGUCUGCAACUCGACCCCAUGAAGCCGGAAUCGCUAGUAAUCGCGGGUCAGCCAUACCGCGGUGAAUGCGUACUUGGGCCUUGUACACACCGCCCGUCACACCAGCCGAGCGGGCGGGCUCUGAAGUCCCGCUCCGGCGGGCCGAGCGAGCCC